UAAACCUAAUGCAUGUCUUUAUUUCAUCUGUAUUUAUUCUUAUUGUUUACUUUUUGAGCCUUUUACUGUUAAAAAUGCCCGCCAAUUUUGGACCGACACUUCUAUCUGCCUUCGCCUUCAACCCAUUCAGGCAGAUCUACUCACAAUAACACUACUUUGCCUUAUUUUACCUGUUUGGAUAUCUUGCUGAGUUCAAGUAAAAUCAAGUAUUCAGCUGAAAACACAAAAAUGAUAAUAAUAUUAUGCUUUCUUUCCUGGAAGAAUGUUGUUGCGAUAGACCCUGCAUGAAAAACACCAGGGAAUCUGUAUUUAAGUGACCUUAAUAUUAUGCGUAAACCUAAGUGUGCAUUUGUAGGCGGUGUCGAAAUGGGUCUAUAGCUCUGCCUGAACUGUCGUCCAAUUGGUUUACAAGUCCGGCUGAAGUGACAGGCCAUCAAAAACUGUACAGCGUGACUGAUUCGGAGACGGCCCUCAACACUCGCCCAGUCGUGUCGAGAGGAUCGGUGUCUUUGCAGAUUACACGGAAUUGAGCACCCGGGCCAGACUGACACUUUCCGGAGCCUGCCCGAGACGGAACUCGAGCCGAGGAAUCAUAGGUCCAUGCGGUGUCGAAAUGGGUCUAUAGCUCUGCCUGAACUGUCGUCCAAUUGGUUUACAAGUCCGGCUGAAGUGACAGGCCAUCAAAAACUGUACAGCGUGACUGAUUCGGAGACGGCCCUCAACACUCGCCCAGUCGUGUCGAGAGGAUCGGUGUCUUUGCAGAUUACACGGAAUUGAGCACCCGGGCCAGACUGACACUUUCCGGAGCCUGCCCGAGACGGAACUCGAGCCGAGGAAUCAUAGGUCCAGGCGGUGUCGAAAUGGGUCUAUAGCUCUGCCUGAACUGUCGUCCAAUUGGUUUACAAGUCCGGCUGAAGUGACAGGCCAUCAAAAACUGUACAGCGUGACUGAUUCGGAGACGGCCCUCAACACUCGCCCAGUCGUGUCGAGAGGAUCGGUGUCUUUGCAGAUUACACGGAAUUGAGCACCCGGGCCAGACUGACACUUUCCGGAGCCUGCCCGAGACGGAACUCGAGCCGAGGAAUCAUAGGUCCAGGCGGUGUCGAAAUGGGUCUAUAGCUCUGCCUGAACUGUCGUCCAAUUGGUUUACAAGUCCCGCUGAAGUGACAGGCCAUCAAAAACUGUACAGCGUGACUGAUUCGGAGACGGCCCUCAACACUCGCCCAGUCGUGUCGAGAGGAUCGGUGUCUUUGCAGAUUACACGGAAUUGAGCACCCGGGCCAGACUGACACUUUCCGGAGCCUGCCCGAGACGGAACUCGAGCCGAGGAAUCAUAGGUCCAGGCGGUGUCGAAAUGGGUCUAUAGCUCUGCCUGAACUGUCGUCCAAUUGGUUUACAAGUCCGGCUGAAGUGACAGGCCAUCAAAAACUGUACAGCGUGACUGAUUCGGAGACGGCCCUGAACACUCGCCCAGUCGUGUCGAGAGGAUCGGUGUCUUUGCAGAUUACACGGAAUUGAGCACCCGGGCCAGACUGACACUUUCCGGAGCCUGCCCGAGACGGAACUCGAGCCGAGGAAUCAUAG